rnacentral:rRNA from 1 species
UACACUCCUGCGGGAGGCAGCAGUAGGGAAUCUUCCCCAAUGGGUGCAAACCUGAUGGAGCAAUGCCGCGUGAGUGAAGAAGGUCUUCGGAUCGUAAAGCUCUGUUGUUAGAGAAGAACACGUGCUAGGUAACUACUAGCGCCUUGACGGUAUCUAACCAGAAAGUCACGGCUAACUACGUGCCAGCAGCCGCGGUAAUACGUAGGUGACAAGCGUUGUCCGGAUUUAUUGGGCGUAAAGGGAGCGCAGGCGGUCUGUUUAGUCUAAUGUGAAAGCCCACGGCUUAACCGUGGAACGGCAUUGGAAACUGACAGACUUGAAUGUAGAAGAGGAAAAUGGAAUUCCAAGUGUAGCGGUGGAAUGCGUAGAUAUUUGGAGGAACACCAGUGGCGAAGGCGAUUUUCUGGUCUAACAUUGACGCUGAGGCUCGAAAGCGUGGGGAGCGAACAGGAUUAGAAACCCUGGUAGUCCCAUG